CAAAGGUAGCGUAAUCACUUGUUCCAUAAAUGGGGACCAGUAUGAACGGCCACAUGAGAAAGAAACUGUCUCUUGAAGAUAACCUAUGAAACUGAUCUUCCUGUGAAAAAGCAGGCAUACCAAAGCAAGACAAAAAGACCCUGCGAAACUUAAAACUAAGCAUUAAACUUAUUAAUGCCUAACUUUUAGUUGGGGCAACUAUAGAUAUACUAAACAUCUUAAAUCAAUCUAAACCAACAAGUUAAAAUUACUAAAACUGAUCCGGCAAAGCCGAUUAAUGAACCAAGCUACUCCAGGGAUAACAGCGCUAAAUUCUUUAAGAGUCCACAUCAACAAGAAUUCUUACGACCUCGAUGUUGGAUCAGGGUACCCAAACAGUGCAGAAGCUGUUAAAGGUUCGUUUGUUCAACGACUAACACCCU
rnacentral:rRNA from 1 species